GAUGAAGAACGCAGCGAAAUGCGAUAAGUAAUGUGAAUUGCAGAAUUCAGUGAAUCAUCGAAUCUUUGAACGCACAUUGCGCCCUCUGGUAUUCCGGGGGGCAUGCCUGUUCGAGCGUCAUUAUAACCACUCAAGCUCUCGCUUGGUAUUGGGGCUCGCGGUUCCGCGGCCCCUAAAAUCAGUGGCGGUGCCUGUCGGCUCUACGCGUAGUAAUACUCCUCGCGAUUGAGUCCGGUAGGUCUACUUGCCAGCAACCCCCAAUUUUUACAGGUUGACCUCGGAUCAGGUAGGGAUACCCGCUGAACUUAAGCAUAUCAAUAAGCGGAGG
rnacentral:misc_RNA from 1 species